GACGUAGGGGGCCAGCGUUGUUCGGAAUUACUGGGUGUAAAGGGUUCGUAGGCGGUGUGGCAAGUCGGGAGUGAAAUCUCUGGGCUCAACCCAGAGUCUGCUUCCGAAACUGCUGUGCUUGAGUGUGGGAGAGGCGCGUGGAAUUGCAGGUGUAGCGGUGAAAUGCGUAGAUAUCUGCAGGAACACCCGUGGCGAAAGCGGCGCGCUGGACCACUACUGACGCUGAGGAACGAAAGCUGGGGGAGCAAACAGG
rnacentral:rRNA from 1 species